GACGAACGCUGGCGGCGUGCUUAACACAUGCAAGUCGAACGGAAAGGCCCUGCUCUUGUGGGUUGCUCGAGUGGCGAACGGGUGAGUAACACGUGAGUAACCUGCCCUUCACUUUGGUAUAACUUCACGAAACUGGGGCUAAUACCGGAUAGGAGCUCCUGCUUCUUGGUGGUGGUUGGAAAGUUUCGGCUGUUGUGUAUGGUCUCGCGGCUUCUCAGCGUGUUGGUGGGGUAGUGGCUUACCAAGGCUUUGACGGGUAGCCGGCCUGAGCGGGUGACCGGCAACAUGGGGACUGAGAUAGGGCGCAGAAGCGUACGAGAGGCAGCAGUGGGGAAUAUUGCAAAGUGGGGGGAAGCCUGAUGCAGCAACGCCGCGUGCGGGAUGACGGGCUUCGGGUUGUAAACCGCUUUCGCCUGGGACGAAGCGGGAGUGACGGUAAUGGGUAAAGAAGCACCGGCUAACUACGUG
rnacentral:rRNA from 1 species